ACAAAUUUAAAGUAACCAAAAUUGGUGGAUUUACAGCAAGUGAUGGUUUUUUGCUUGAAAUACAAUAAAAACGUCUUAACCUAAAGAAAAAGUGAUACACAUCUCUAAAUUGAAACUUGACUUGCUAGGAACAGUAUGAGGAUCAAAUGAGAUAAUGUAUGUGAAGCAUCUAGAAUAGUGUCUACCUGAUACAUAGCUCUAAAAUAGUCUUUGAAAUAACGGGGCUGAUGGACAAAGGCCAAAAAAUCUCAUUGGCUUAAUCUUUGAAACCAUAUUUUGCUGCACCUGUCAACAGAGAAAGAAGCUCAUAGAAACAUUAGUCAUGAAGCAGCACCUCAGAGAGAUGACAUAUUCACAUUUUUCAUUGUAGGUGAUAACCUUUAUUUUUAUAGCAGAGGUAAAAGCUUCAAUUUGCAUGAAUCCCAGUGACAUUAAGUGACAUUUUACAGACAUGUAAACUCUUGAGAGGUUUAACUAAACACCUUUUUGUGCAUUCAAGUUCCCCACAGCCUGGCUUUGCUUCUCUUUUCACUCCGUCUACCCCUUAGCACAGCCCUUAGGAGGUGCUCUACAAUGUAUGUUGAAUAAAUGUCCCUUUAGUUCUUCUCCCACCUCCUGUGUUACUGCUGAACCUAGCAUAUAUCUCAGAUGAUGUGCUUAUUUUGCAGCAACAUGGAUGGAACUGGAGUGGUGCCA
rnacentral:lncRNA from 1 species